AACGAACGCUGGCGGCAGGCCUAACACAUGCAAGUCGAACGCUCCGCAAGGGGAGUGGCAGACGGGUGAGUAACACGUGGGAAUCUUCCUAUCGGUACGGAAUAGCUCAGGGAAACUUGGGGUAAUACCGCAUACGCCCGAAAGGGGAAAGAUUUAUCGCCGAUAGAUGAGCCCGCGUCUGAUUAGCUAGUUGGUGAGGUAAUGGCUCACCAAGGCGACGAUCAGUAGCUGGCUGAGAGGAUGACCAGCCACACUGGGACUGAGACACGGCCCAGACUCCUACGGGAGGCAGCAGUGGGAAUAUUGGACAAUGGGCGCAAGCCUGAUCCAGCCAUGCCGCGUGAGUGACGAAGGUCUUCGGAUUGUAAAGCUCUUUUGCCAGGGACGAUAAUGACGGUACCUGGAGAAUAAGCCCCGGCUAACUUCGUGCCAGCAGCCGCCGUAAC
rnacentral:rRNA from 1 species